rnacentral:lncRNA from 1 species
UCCUGGCACUCCAUAGCCUCCUUAUAGGUGUAAGGAUCCCCAUUCACUGUCACCAGGGCAUAUGACAACAUCUCAUCGAAGCCAUAUCAUUGCGGUUGCCUGACGUUUCUUUUGAGCUUGUGCAGUGCAAUCCUGAUGUCCAUCCUAGGUCCAACUUGCUCCUACUGGACCUCUUGGCUUCUAUCACCCAUCCAAUCUCUCUCCACCUAUGGAGA